UUGUUUCUCUAUCCAUCUCCUACACACAGCCAGGCCACACAGGUAUGGACUAACAACACUCUAUGUGGCCUAAAAACCAACCAAAUCAAGUUUCUAUCAAGGCAGAAGAGGCAGGACAGCCAAGGAAUUGAGCAUAAAGGACACUCUACUGUGAGAGCUAGCCUUGAUUUGACAU
rnacentral:lncRNA from 1 species